UUACGAAGUGGCAUCACUUUGUAACGAAAGAAUUUCGGUUCGGGAGAAUCUCGCGGCCUAUCAGCUUGUUGGUGAGGUAACGGCUCACCAAGGCUACGACGGGUAGCUGGUCUGAGAGGAUGAUCAGCCACACUGGGACUGAGACACGGCCCAGACUCCUACGGGAGGCAGCAGUGGGGAAUCUUGUGCAAUGGACGAAAGUCUGACACAGCCACGCCGCGUGCGGGAAGAAGGCCUUCGGGUUGUAAACCGCUUUCAGCAGGAACGAAAAUGACGGUACCUGCAGAAGAAGGAGCGGCCAACUACGUGCCAGCAGCCGCGGUGACACGUAGGCUCCAAGCGUUGUCCGGAUUUAUUGGGCGUAAAGAGCUCGUAGGCGGUUCAGCAAGUCGGGUGUGAAAACUCUGGGCUCAACCCAGAGCCUGCACCCGAAACUGCUGUGACUAGAGUUCGGUAGGGGAGUGGGGAAUUCCUAGUGUAGCGGUGAAAUGCGCACAUAUUAGGAGGAACACCGAUGGCGAAGGCACCACUCUGGGCCGAAA
rnacentral:rRNA from 1 species